rnacentral:rRNA from 1 species
UUGGGGUCUGGUAUGACGAAACUUGGGCAGCAACUGUCUUAAUAUAUUUUUUAUAAUUUAAUAUGCAAGUGAAAAUACUUGCUUUAAUAUAAAAGACGAGAAGACCCUAGAAACUUACAUUAUUUUUGUUGGGGCGACAGGAUUACAGUUAACUAAUCUUAUAUAACAUGACGUUAAACAGUUAGAAAAAGUUACUCUAGGGAUAACAGCAA